rnacentral:rRNA from 1 species
AACGAACGCUGGCGGCAGGCUUAACACAUGCAAGUCGAACGCCCCGCAAGGGGAGUGGCAGACGGGUGAGUAACACGUGGGAACGUGCCCUAAGGUUAGGAAUAUUCCCGGGAAACUGGGGGCAAUACCGAAUGUGUCCGAGAGGAGAAAGAUUUAUCGCCUUAGGAUCGGCCCGCGUCGGAUUAGCUAGUUGGUGGGGUAAUGGCCUACCAAGGCGACGAUCCGUAGCUGGUCUGAGAGGACGACCAGCCACACUGGGACUGAGACACGGCCCAGACUCCUACGGGAGGCAGCAGUGGGGAAUCUUGGACAAUGGGCGCAAGCCUGAUCCAGCCAUGCCGCGUGGAUGAUGAAGGCCUUAGGGUUGUAAAAUCCUUUCGCCGAGGACGAUAAUGACGGUACUCGGAGAAGAAGCUCCGGCUAACUUCGUGCCAGCCGCCGCCGUAA